GGCGACGAGCGUACAGUCCUCCAUGCAAAAUAUCCAGCCAAAACUGCUGAGAAAAAAACCAAGAUAAACCUCAAAGGACACAUAUUUUUGUUGUAGAAAUCUUGGAGUUUUAUCCCACAGCAAUCAAGAAAGAGAAGAAGCAGGGUUGGUGCUGAAAACACAAAAGGCUUUCGGCUUCUUUUGUUAAAUUAAUCCUAGAUUUGGAGACAGCCAACAGAGACAGCCAAAGAAGAAUGAGAG
rnacentral:misc_RNA from 1 species